rnacentral:rRNA from 1 species
AUAAGUUACUAAGGGCACAAGGUGGAUGCCUUGGCACUAGGAGGCGAUGAAGGACGUGACAGGCUGCGAUAUGCCUCGGGGAGGAGCCAAAUAUCCUUUGAUCCGGGGAUUUCCGAAUGGGGAAACCCACAUGAAGUCAUAUUCAUGUAACCCUUGGUUGAAUACAUAGGCCUUGGGUGGCGAACGGAGGGAAGUGAAACAUCUCAGUACCUCCAGGAGAAGAAAUCAAGAGAGAUUCCGGAAGUAGCGGCGAGCGAACCCGGAUAAGGCCAAACCGAAGAGUUUCGACUUUUCGGGGUUGUAGGGCUGAUAGAAUCGAUCCAUGACAAGAUAAGGGAACAGGUUGGGAAACCUGGCCGCAGAGAGUGAAAGCCUCGUACCGUAAAUCGAAAGUGGCGUAAUCAGUACCUGAGUACCGCGGGACACGAGAAACCCCGUGGGAAUCUGGGAGGACCAUCUUCCAAGCCUAAAUACUCCCUAGUGACCGAUAGCGAACCAGUACCGUGAGGGAAAGGUGAAAAGAACUCCUGUUAGGAGAGUGAAAUAGAACCUGAAACCAUGUGCCUACAAGCUGUGGGAGCGGACUUGAUCCGUGACCGCGUGCUUUUUGCAUAACGGGCCAGCGAGUUAUUCUUUACUGCGAGAUUAAGCUAUUAAGUGUAGUCGUAGCGAAAGCGAGUCUGAACAGGGCGUCAAGUAGUGGGGAAUAGACCCGAAGCCGGGUGAUCUAUCCAUGAGCAGGCUGAAGCUUGAGUAAAAUCAAGUGGAGGGCCGAACCAGUAUCGGUUGAAAACGAUUUGGAUGACUUGUGGAUAGGGGUGAAAGGCCAAUCAAACCCGGUGAUAGCUGGUUCUCGCCGAAAUAUAUUGAGGUAUAGCGUCAAGUUAGUUUUGCGGAGGUAGAGCACUGACAGGGCUAGGGGCCCCACCAGGUUACCAACCCCUUUCAAACUCCGAAUGCCGUAAAAUGAUGCUUGGCAGUCAGGCUAUGGGUGCGAAGGUCCAUGGCCGAAAGGGAAACAGCCCAGACCAACAGCUAAGGUCUCGAAAUCAAUGCUAAGUGGGAAAGGUGGUGGAGUUGCUGAUACAUCCAGGAGGUUGGCUUAGAAGCAGCCAUCCUUUAAAGAAAGCGUAAUAGCUCACUGGCCUAGCGAUUCUGCGCCGAAAAUGUAACGGGGCUAAGCAUUGUACCGAAGCUUUGGGUUCACAGUUUACUGUGAGCGGUAGGCGAGCGUUCUCAGAUGGGAAGAAGGUGAAGCCGUAAGGCCCGCUGGACUAAUGAGAAGUGAUCAUGCUGGCAUGAGUAACGAUAAAAUAAGUGAGAAACUUAUUCGCCGUAAACCUAAGGUUUCCUGGGUAAAGUUAAUCUUCCCAGGGUAAGUCGGCCCCUAAGACCAGGCUGAAAAGCGUCGUCGAUGGGAAACAGGUUAAUAUUCCUGUACAUGUAUAUGUGUGCGAUGGAGGGACGCAGAAGGAUAGGUGAUCCGGGUGUUGGAUAUCCCGGUGCAAGCUAGUAGGCUUGAGGAGCAGGCAAAUCCGCUCCUCUUCAAGGCCGAGAAGUGAUGCCGUAUCUUUAUCGAUAGAAGUCAUUGAUUCCAUACUGCCAAGAAAAGCUUCUAAGUUUAGCAUAUGCAUACCGUACCGCAAACCAACACAGGUAGGUGGGUCGAGCAGACCAAGGCGCUUGAGAGAACUCUGGUUAAGGAACUCGGCAAAAUGACCCCGUAAGUUCGCGAGAAGGGGUCCUCGAAGUUGUGAGAUUAUUUACUUUUUGAGCAGCUUUGAGGCACAGAGAAUCGGGGGGGGCGACUGUUUACUAAAAACAUAGGUCUCUGCUAAGUCGUAAGACGAUGUAUAGGGACUGACGCCUGCCCGGUGCUGGAAGGUUAAGAGGUGGGGUUAGACUUCGGUCGAAGCCCUGAAUCGAAGCCCCAGUAAACGGCGGCCGUAACUAUAACGGUCCUAAGGUAGCGAAAUUCCUUGUCGGGUAAGUUCCGACCUGCACGAAUGGCGUAACGAUCUCCCCACUGUCUUGUGCACCUUUACUGCAACUUGACAUUGGUAUUUGAUUAUUCAUGUGUAGGAUAGGUGGGAGACUUUGAAGCAUGCUCGCCAGAGUGUGUGGAGUCAUCCUUGAAAUACCACCCUUGAAUACUUGGAUAUCUAAUCCAAAGCCGUUAUCCGGCUUGGAGACAGUGUCUGGUGGGUAGUUUGACUGGGGCGGUCGCCUCCCAAAGAGUAACGGAGGCUUGCAACGGUUCCCUCAGGCUGAUUGGAAACCAGCCGUUGAGUGCAAAGGCAUAAGGGAGCUUGACUGUGAGACAGACAUGUCGAGCAGGAACGAAAGUUGGUCUUAGUGAUCCGGUGGUUCCGCAUGGAAGGGCCAUCGCUCAUAGGAUAAAAGGUACGCCGGGGAUAACAGGCUGAUCGCGUCCAAGAGUUCACAUCGACGACGCGGUUUGGCACCUCGAUGUCGGCUCAUCACAUCCUGGGGCUGAAGCAGGUCCCAAGGGUACGGCUGUUCGCCGUUUAAAGUGGUACGCGAGCUGGGUUGAGACAGUUUGGUCCCUAUCCUCCGUGGGCGUAGGAGAAUUGAAGAGGGUCUGCCCCUAGUACGAGAGGACCGGGGUGGACGAACCUAUGGUGUUUCUGUUGUCGCGCCAGCGGCAUUGCAGAGUAGCUAAGUUCGGUACGGAUAACCGCUGAAAGCAUCUAAGCGGGAAGCCCGCCUCAAGAUAAAUUCUCCCCGGACUUCGGUCCCUGAAGAUCCCUUGAAGACGACAAGGUUGAUAGGCUGGAAGUGUACGCAGUGUGAGCUGUUCAGCUGACCAGUACUAAUAGAUCGUGCGACUUAUUUUA